UUGGCGGUGCCCCAAACCAACUUAGAGGAGCCUGUCCUAUAAUCGAUACCCCACGAUAAACCUCACCAAUUUUAGCCACUUCAGCCUAUAUACCGCCG
rnacentral:rRNA from 1 species